CCUACGGGUGGCAGCAGUGAGGAAUAUUGGUCAAUGGACGAGAGUCUGAACCAGCCAAGUAGCGUGAAGGAUGACUGCCCUAUGGGUUGUAAACUUCUUUUAUAUGGGAAUAAAACGUUCCACGUGUGGGAUUUUGUAUGUACCCUAUGAAUAAGGAUCGGCUAACUCCGUGCCAGCAGCCGCGGUAAUACGGAGGAUCCGAGCGUUAUCCGGAUUUAUUGGGUUGAAAGGGAGCGUAGGUGGAUUGUUAAGUCAGUUGUGAAAGUUUGCGGCUCAACCGUAAAAUUGCAGUUGAAACUGGCAGUCUUGAGUACAGUAGAGGUGGGCGGAAUUCGUGGUGUAGCGGUGAAAUGCUUAGAUAUCACGAAGAACUCCGAUUGCGAAGGCAGUUCACUGGACUGCAACUGACACUGAGGCUCGAAAGUGUGGGUAUCAAACAGGAUUAGAUACCCUAGUAGUC
rnacentral:rRNA from 1 species